AUACUCCUUGCCCUGGAGACAUUGAUAUGUGCUUUACAUAUACCGUCCUGUGUCACACAGGGACGCCGGAGGAAACCCGACAGCUGAUCCACUUUCGGGCUGAAAACAAGCAGAAGUUUCUUAAAUCAAAAUAUGCUGCAAAGCAACUAUGGAAGACACUCAUGAAAG